AACGAACGCUGGCGGCAGGCCUAACACAUGCAAGUCGAGCGAGGACUUCGGUCCUAGCGGCGGACGGGUGAGUAACGCGUGGGAACGUGCCCUUUGCUUCGGAAUAGCCCUGGGAAACUGGGAGUAAUACCGGAUGAGCCCUUUGGGGGAAAGAUUUAUCGGCGAAGGAUCGGCCCGCGUUGGAUUAGGUAGUUGGUGGGGUAAUGGCCUACCAAGCCGACGAUCCAUAGCUGGUUUGAGAGGAUGAUCAGCCACACUGGGACUGAGACACGGCCCAGACUCCUACGGGAGGCAGCAGUGGGGAAUGUUAGACAAUGGGGGAAGCCCUGAACUAGCCAUGCCGCGUGAGCGAUGAAGGCCUUAGGGUUGUAAAGCGCUUUCAGCUGGGAAGAUAAUGACGGUACCAGCAGAAAAAGCCCCGGCUAACUCCGUG
rnacentral:rRNA from 1 species